AACGAACGCUGGCGGCAUGCCUAACACAUGCAAGUCGAACGAGACCUUCGGGUCUAGUGGCGCACGGGUGCGUAACGCGUGGGAACCUGCCCUUAGGUUCGGAAUAACUCCCCGAAAGGGGUGCUAAUACCGGAUAAUGUCUUCGGACCAAAGAUUUAUGGCCUUGGGAUGGGCCCGCGUUGGAUUAGCUAGUUGGUAGGGUAAAAGCCUACCAAGGCGACGAUCCAUAGCUGGUCUGAGAGGAUGAUCAGCCACACUGGGACUGAGACACGGCCCAGACUCCUACGGGAGGAAGCAGUGGGGAAUAUUGGACGAUGGGCGAAAGCCUAAUCCAGCAAUGCCGCGUGAGUGAUGAAGGCCUUAGGGUUGUAAAGCUCUUUUACCCGGGAUGAUAAUGACAGUACCGGGAGAAUAAGCUCCGGCUAACUACGUG
rnacentral:rRNA from 1 species